rnacentral:rRNA from 1 species
AGAGUUUGAUCCUGGCUCAGAACGAACGCUGGCGGCGUGCUUAACACAUGCAAGUCGAACGUGAUCCGGAGCUUGCUCCGGUGAAAGUGGCGCACGGGUGAGUAACGCGUGGAUAAUCUGCCCUGGUAUCUGGGAUAACAUCUCGAAAGGGGUGCUAAUACCGGAUAAGCCUACGGGAUCCUCGGAUUCUGCAGGAAAAGGUGGCCUCUAUUUAUAAGCUACCGUAUCAGGAUGAGUCCGCGUACCAUUAGCUAGUUGGUGGGGUAAUGGCCCACCAAGGCUACGAUGGUUAGCUGGUCUGAGAGGAUGAUCAGCCACACUGGAACUGAGACACGGUCCAGACUCCUACGGGAGGCAGCAGUGGGGAAUUUUGCGCAAUGGAAGAAAGCCUGACGCAGCAACGCCGCGUGGGUGAUGAAGGUCUUCGGAUCGUAAAACCCUGUCGUCGGGGACGAAGGUGGGCUUGUUAAUAGCGAGUUUACUUGACGGUACCCGGAGAGGAAGCCCCGGCUAACUCUGUGCCAGCAGCCGCGGUAAUACAGAGGGGGCAAGCGUUAUUCGGAAUUAUUGGGCGUAAAGGGUGCGUAGGCGGUCGUUUAAGUAGGAUGUGUAAUCCCCGGGCUUAACCUGGGAACGGCAUUUGAAACUGGCGGACUAGAGUUUAGUAGAGGGGAGUGGAAUUUCAGGUGUAGCGGUGAAAUGCGUAGAUAUCUGAAGGAACACCAGUGGCGAAGGCGACUCCCUGGACUAGAACUGACGCUGAGGUACGAAAGCGUGGGUAGCAAACAGGAUUAGAUACCCUGGUAGUCC